GCAGCAGUGAGGAAUAUUGGUCAAUGGGCGCAAGCCUGAACCAGCCAUCCCGCGUGCAGGAUGAAGGCCCUAUGGGUCGUAAACUGCUUUUAUACACCAAGAAAAACACCCACGUGUGGGUGCCCGACGGUAGUGUAUGAAUAAGCAUCGGCUAACUCCGUGCCAGCAGCCGCGGUAAUACGGAGGAUGCAAGCGUUAUCCGGAUUCAUUGGGUUUAAAGGGUGCGUAGGCGGCUUUUUAAGUCAGUGGUGAAAUCUUGCCGCUUAACGGUAAAAUUGCCAUUGAUACUGAUAAGCUUGAGUACAAUUGAGGUAAGCGGAACGUGUAGUGUAGCGGUGAAAUGCUUAGAUAUUACACAGAACACCGAUUGCGAAGGCAGCUUACUAAACUGUUACUGACGCUGAUGCACGAAAGCGUGGGGAGCGAACAGGAUUAGAUACCCUGGUAGUCCACGCCGUAAACGAUGAUCACUCGCUGUAUGCGAUACACAGUAUGCGGCCAAGCGAAAGCAUUAAGUGAUCCACCUGGGGAGUACGAUCGCAAGGUUGAAACUCAAAGGAAUUGACGGGGGCCCGCACAAGCGGAGGAACAUGUGGUUUAAUUCGAUGAUACGCGAGGAACCUUACCUGGGCUUAAAUGGGGAACGACAGCUGCCGAAAGGUGGCCUUCUUCGGACGUUCUUCAAGGUGCUGCAUGGUUGUCGUCAGCUCGUGCCGUGAGGUGUCGGGUUAAGUCCCAUAACGAGCGCAACCCUUAUCGUUAGUUGCCAGCGGGUCAUGCCGGGGACUCUAGCGAGACUGCCACCGUAAGGUGUGAGGAAGGUGGGGAUGACGUCAAAUCAGCACGGCCCUUAUGUCCAGGGCUACACACGUGUUACAAUGGCCAAUACAAAGGGCAGCUACCGGGUGACCGGAUGCCAAUCUCUAAAGUUGGUCUCAGUUCGGAUCGAAGUCUGCAACCCGACUUCGUGAAGCUGGAUUCGCUAGUAAUCGCAUAUCAGCCAUGAUGCGGUGAAUACGUUCCCGGGCCUUGUACACACCG
rnacentral:rRNA from 1 species